AUACAGAGGGUGCGAGCGUUAAUCGGAAUUACUGGGCGUAAAGCGCGCGUAGGCGGCUGAUUAAGUCAGAUGUGAAAUCCCCGGGCUCAACCUGGGAACUGCAUCUGAUACUGGUAAGCUAGAGUUUUGGAGAGGGAAGUAGAAUUUCAGGUGUAGCGGUGAAAUGCAUAGAGAUCUGAAGGAAUACCAGUGGCGAAGGCGACUUCCUGGCCAAAAACUGACGCUGAGGUGCGAAAGCGUGGGUAGCAAACGGGAUUAGAAACCCCAGUAGUCC
rnacentral:rRNA from 1 species